rnacentral:misc_RNA from 1 species
AUCCAUUGUUGGUUUAUCAAGGCUAUCAUUUACACUUCCAUGUGGGUUAAUUUCAUGGUUGAGUUAUGUUCAAGUAGCUCAAUCAAGUGAGGCACUGAAACUCGAUAUGGUUUAUGAGACUGGAGAGCUUUUUGAACUGGGUAUACAACUGUCUUAUCUGAUUGUAUUACUAGCUCUGCUUGGAGUUGGAACUUUUUUUGUCAUUCGUCAGGUUCUUGUUCGUAGAGAGCUUGACCUUUCUGCUAAAGAACUGCAGGAGCAG